rnacentral:lncRNA from 1 species
UUUCAAGCUCAUGUGGUUGCUAGAGCUCAUUUCCUUGCAGCUGCAGAAUUCAUGAGCAAUCAGGGAUCAUUCUUCAGCGUCCUGAAGAGUGUUUUCUUUGUCGCUGCUUCGCAGGCAACACAAGUGCCACGCAGCUGUGCUCGUACUAGGCCUCUGCGCGGAGCCACCUGACUUCCUGCUGGGCACUGAGCCCCCGCACACCGCUACUCCACAAUCCAGAGAAUUUGCUUCAAUUGGUGGAAUUUGCUGCAAUAUGUCCCUUGAGUGUCCUUGUCCGAAAUGAUUUUUCUCUUCCUCUAGCCUCUCUGAGUCAGCUGUGUUUGGACUUGAAACGGAAGCUAUGCACAGCAGCCUCAGACGUGUGACUGUGCCCGGAAGCAGCGCACGCUUCAUUGGGUUGCCGAAGGGAAAGCUGCUUUCAGUCCAGGAGUUAACCUUUGGGAAUUCAGAAUAUCUGGGCUUUAUCCAAGCCAUGUAUCCCUUUUCCCGUCUAAAACCACCCACAACUUAAUAUAAAAUAGAAUAAAAUAAAAUAAAAUGAAACCCCUGAUGAGCCUCCUUCCCUAUCAUGGCAGAAGAGAAAUAGCAUAAAGUCUGAAUUUCUUAUCAAAGCAAGCAAGAUCCUGUGAUUUGAAUGCUGCUCAACCUCAACUUCUAUUACCUGCUUAAACAGAGCUGGAGCAAGUUCAAAAUCACGUGUAAAUUAUCAAAUACAUUCUGUUCUCCUAGGUCUGUGUAAAAGUUCCCAGUUUUCUCAGGCAUGAAAGUUUCUCCCUGCUUGCCUCUGCUGGGCUUCUGUUCAUGUCUCAAACCUGACUUCAACAUUGACCUCCGAUGUGGAUCCUUCUCUUACCCUUUCAACUUCCCCAGAGCACAAGCACUUUCUCUUCUUUGCCCUUGCACUUGUUAUUUGGAAUGUAAUGAUCUGCUUUCCUGUUUUUCCCCCAUACAACAAAGCUUUUAAAAAAAUUGUGGAAAAAUGGAAUUAAAAGAUAAAAUUUAAAAAUAUAAACUUUAUUUCUCACCAUAAGCUCCAUCAAGUUCAAGACAUUUUUGUGAGUGAUGAUCCAGCCAUUUAGCCCAUUCCUAAAGAACUGAGUGUCUUGGGAAUUUAACUAUGUCAAUGUAAUCUUUUUUUACAUUAUUAACUGAAGAAAAAGGGAUGCCCUUUACAGAUUUUGUUUUUAAGAUUAGGAAACAAAAAGAAAUAAGAAGAAGCCAAGUCAGGACUAUAAGGUAGAUGCCUAAUGAUUUCCCAUGAAACUCUUGCAAAAUUGCCCUUGUUUGAUGAGAAGAAUGAACAGGAACAUUGUCAUGAUGGAGAAGGGCUCUCUGCUGAAGCUUUUCCUGGGUGUUUUUUGGCUAAACCUCUAGCUAACUUUCUCAAAACAGUCUCAUAAUAAGCAGAUGUUAUCAUUCUUUGGCUCUCCAGAAAGUCAAGACAGAAAAUGCCUUGAGCAUCCAAGAAAAAGUCUGCGACAGUGACCUUUGCUCUUGACUGGUUUGCUUUUGCUUUGACUGGACCACUGCCACCUCUUGGUAGCCAUUGCUUUGAUUGUGCUUUGUCUUCAGGAUUCUGCUAGUAAAGCUGCAUUCCAUCUCCUGUUAUAAUUCCUCAAAGAAAUAUUUCAAAGAAAUGCUUGACCCCACUUGUUUUAAAAUUUCCAUUGAAAGCUCUAUUCUUGUCUGAAACUAAUCUGGCUGCCACAGUUUUAGCAUCCAUCACAUGGAAAGUUUGCUCAACUUUAAUUUUUCAGUCAGAAUUGUGUAAGCUGAACCAACUGAAAUGCCUGUGGUGUUGACUAUUUUCUGCUGUUGAUUGUUUAUCCUCUUUAAUGAAGGCAUGAACAAGAUUAAUUUUUUCCUUGCAAACUGAUGUGGAUGGUCUGCUGCCACAGUCUUCAUCUUCAACAUCCACUUGUCCUUUCUUAAAAUAAGUUAUCCAUUUGUAAACUGUUGAUUUCUUUGGAACAUUGUCCCUGUACACUUUUCAUAAGGCACCAAUGACUUCAUCAUUCUUCCACCUAAGCUUCACCACAAAUUUGAUGUUUGUUCUUGCUUCAAUUGUAGCAGAAUUUAUGUUGCUCUGAUAGAGGCAUUUCUGAAACUCCUGUCUCAUCCUUCUUAGUGCCUCAAACUCGACUCUGUUCAGACAUGUUAUAACAAGAUAGUUCAAGAUCAUUUUGGUACAAAAAAUGAAAAUCUAAGUAGUUUUUUCAUAAUACACAUUUUCCGUAAUACAUUUGAAGACCUCUCAUAUUUAAGCACAAUGAGAAGUGGCACCAUAUAUUUAUACCCAAAUCCAUAAGUACUUUUACUUACCAAUAAAUAUUUGUUAAAUGAAUGAUAUUUACCUCAAAUAAAAAACAUACGAGGGAGGCCCGAGGAGGUGGCAAUUUUCCAGUCUUCACACAAAAUAUUUCUCUUUGAACUCUAUAGACUGAUGACUAUUAUCUUGAGAAAAGCAAACCUUAAAAAACUUACUGUUACUUUACCAGUGUUAACCACAAGAUCUUGGUAUGUUACUAAGGCAUGAGACAGCUCUUACAGUUUUAGAGGCAUAUACUGACAGAUCUUAUACUUUUAGAGGCAAUUCCUGAGAAUAAUUCAGAAUUAAGAAUAUGUACUCUAGGUAUGACUAUGAAAGUCAUUGAGAAGCAGUUUAUAAUUGAAACAGUGGAAAACAUGGAGCCAAAUAAGGUUUUGUAAAAAUGAACUGAGACAUUAAAAGUUGUGUUUGUGGCAGAUUUACCAGGGAGUGACUUUCGAAAGUGAUCUAUUCCUUUUUUCCUGCGAAUGUGGAAAUUCCUUUCACUUCAUCACUGAUGUAGGACUGUUUAGCUUCUACUUAAACAAUUAUAGUAACCAGGAGCUUAGGAUUUUAUAAGAAAUAGCUAUACUCUUUUUUCAUAUUUGCUUGACCACUUUCUACCUACAACUUCUGCCCAUUGGCUGUAAUUUUGAGUCUUGGAAACUACAAAGAUGAAUCAGCUUUACAUAUUGGGUGAGGGCAGUGAUUGGCUUUAUUUCAAAGUCUUCUUUGUUUCUGGCAAAAUAUCCUGGUUAACUUGUGUAGACUCUCACUAACAGACUCUUACUAAUUUGUCAAACCCUUCUUUAAAAUAUGUAUAUCUUACCUGGAAUAGUCUAAACUUCACAGAAUAAAAUACAACUCUUGUUACUUUUAC